AUUGAACGCUGGCGGCAGGCUUAACACAUGCAAGUCGAGCGGAGAGAGGUAGCUUGCUACUGAUCUUAGCGGCGGACGGGUGAGUAAUGCUUAGGAAUCUGCCUAUUAGUGGGGGACAACAUUUCGAAAGGAAUGCUAAUACCGCAUACGUCCUACGGGAGAAAGCAGGGGAUCUUCGGACCUUGCGCUAAUAGAUGAGCCUAAGUCGGAUUAGCUAGUUGGUGGGGUAAAGGCCUACCAAGGCGACGAUCUGUAGCGGGUCUGAGAGGAUGAGCCGCCACGCUGGGACUGAGACACGGCCCAGACUCCUACGGGAGGCAGCAGUGGGGAAUAUUGGACAAUGGGCGCAAGCCUGAUCCAGCCAUGCCGCGUGUGUGAAGAAGGCCUUAUGGUUGUAAAGCACUUUAAGCGAGGAGGAGGCUACUUUAGAUAAUACCUAGAGAUAGUGGACGUUACUCGCAGAAUAAGCACCGGCUAACUCUGUGCCAGCCGCCGCAGUAAAAC
rnacentral:rRNA from 1 species